AGCCUGCUAACUUCAUACGCUACCGGCGUUACGCCGUCGGAUUUCCGAUCAAAACCCUAAUUCAUCAUUGCAUUUAUGGUUACUCCACCGGAUUUCUUCAAUUCAUUAUCGAAAGAUGACCGAAAUUGUAAUGGAAGAUCUGCCUGAGAAGGUCAUCCCUGAAAUUGGUUACCAAUUAUUACACAAUUAUGCUGACCAAAUUCAGAACAGGUAUUGGACCUGCAACGUUCAUUCGCAAGCAUCAAGAUCAUGUACCAGGUUGGAACCUUUCAACUACACCUAGGUGGUUGUUUCGGCGUUAACUUAACUGAUGUGGAUCUGUUAGAGUUUCUUCAACAGGUAUCGAAUGAAAGUUGUGGAGUUGUUCUUGAAGGCCCCUGUCACGACCGGAAUCUAGACCCCAGACGAGACCGGCGUCGUUGACCUCUCAGAGGUCGCAGACAAGCCUGCUUACGUCAUUCUUACUUUACAUAG